GAUGAACGCUAGCGGCAGGCCUAAUACAUGCAAGUCGAGGGGUCAGCAAUGACACCGGCGGACGGGUGCGUAACGCGUAUGCAACCUACCUACAUCAGGGGGAUAGCCCUAGGAAACUGGGAUUAACACCGCAUAAUAGUAUUGAUGGCAUCAUUGAUAUUUGAAAUAUUUAUAGGAUGUAGAUGGGCAUGCGUAAGAUUAGCUAGUUGGUAAGGUAACGGCUUACCAAGGCUACGAUCUUUAGGGGCUCUGAGAGGAGUAUCCCCCACACUGGCACUGAGAUACGGGCCAGACUCCUACGGGAGGCAGCAGUAGGGAAUAUUGGGCAAUGGAGGCAACUCUGACCCAGCCAUGCCGCGUGCAGGAAGACGGCCCUCUGGGUUGUAAACUGCUUUUGAAUGGGAAGAAUGUGAUGUUUGCGAGCAUUAAUGACGGUACCAUUAGAAUAAGCCACGGCUAACUACGUGCCAGCAGCCGCCGUAAAAC
rnacentral:rRNA from 1 species